GACGAACGCUGGCGGCGUGCUUAACACAUGCAAGUCGAACGGAAAGGCCCUGCUUUUGUGGGGUGCUCGAGUGGCGAACGGGUGAGUAACACGUGAGUAACCUGCCCUUGACUUUGGGAUAACUUCAGGAAACUGGGGCUAAUACCGGAUAGGAGCUCCUGCUGCAUGGUGGGGGUUGGAAAGUUUCGGCGGUUGGGGAUGGACUCGCGGCCUAUCAGCUUGUUGGUGGGGUAGUGGCUUACCAAGGCUUUGACGGGUAGCCGGCCUGUGAGGGUGACCGGCCACAUUGGGACUGAGAUACGGCCCAGACUCCUACGGGAGGCAGCAGUGGGGAAUAUUGCACAAUGGGCGGAAGCCUGAUGCAGCAACGCCGCGUGCGGGAUGACGGCCUUCGGGUUGUAAACCGCUUUCGCCUGUGACGAAGCGUGAGUGACGGUAAUGGGUAAAGAAGCACCGGCUAACUACGUG
rnacentral:rRNA from 1 species